rnacentral:rRNA from 1 species
CGUGUAGGCGGGAAAACAAGUCAGAUGUGAAAUACCGAGGCUUAACUUCGGGGCUGCAUCUGAAACUGUUUUUCUUGAGUGUCGGAGAGGAAAGUGGAAUUCCCAGUGUAGCGGUGAAAUGCGUAGAUAUUGGGAGGAACACCAGUGGCGAAGGCGACUUUCUGGACGAUAACUGACGCUGAGGCGCGAAAGCGUGGGGAGCAAACAGGAUUAGAUACCCUGGUAGUCCACGCUGUAAACGAUGGAUACUAGGUGUAGGAGGUAUCGACCCCUUCUGUGCCGGAGUUAACACAAUAAGUAUCCCACCUGGGGAGUACGGCCGCAAGGUUGAA